CCUCACCCGCAGGUUCUGCACCCAGCGCUGCGGUGGGCAGUACAGGCGCCACGGUGCACGGAACCUCACCUGCUGGGGAUGGUGUGGCUGUAAGAUAUGGGCGAGUCCAUGCAGACGGCCAGCGGCGGCUGUGCGACACGCGGACGGAAAGAAGACGUAUCAGCCACCACGUUCGCUCCCCAUGUUUGUAAGUUUUCAGUUCAUCACAAACAUGCCAAGCGGACAAUCUGCGCAUGAAAUAUCCGCGUCAGCUGCUGAGCCGGCUGUACUGAUUACUUAGUUUGGCUCAGGAUUUCAGGGGGUCGCCUCCUACCUGCGGCGUGUAACUGCUGUCAAUACUGGGGAGUAUCUGUAAGCAGAAAGAUCAUGUUUUCGCCACAUGGUUUAAAUACAUACAGAGACUGUAUCCGGAGCCCCGCUACCAGCACUAAACCCCAGCUCCCCGGAUCUGGGCGCUACCUGGCUGGGCUCCGGCCAGGAUGGUCCGGAACAUCUAAGCAUCGAGUCUGGGAUCAGGUCUUUCUCCGCCAGACGCUGACGAAGAGAGGGUAAACUCUAAUGCCAUCUGCACCAAACAUAUUUCUGUAUCUUACUUUUUACAUAGUUUGCUUGUGGAAUGUUAGCGUCCAUACUGUUUAUAAAAUGUUUAUGAUCAAGUAUCUUGGGUGCACUUGUACUCUGGAUGGUUAACUGGAAUAUGAGGAAGCCCGUGCGGCGGCCCGAUUAUUCACCGCGGGACUCACCUUCACAUCGUCGCACUGUUGCCGCAUUGUUACCCCGGGACGGCAAAGGGACGGAGUCAGGCAGAGCAGCAGGGCGCGCCACACGGCCAUGAUCAUCUCCUCCAAGCGACUCGGCUACUAACAUGUAUGUUUUCCCGUGGACAGGCCAGCUUCAUGAUACGCGCUAAAGAAACUGACGCCGUCCCGGGGGCUCCAAACCACAGCUAAGUGAAAAAGCCUUAACGUAAGAAUCCUCUCGUCUCGCAGUGAAACAGAUUAACACGGAGUCCAACAAAAAUGCAAUUUCAGAAGUAUUAAAAUACGAAGUUUUUAAAUGUGCCUUUGCAGUGCGCAAGACGCCUUUGAAGUCAAUAUAAGACAAUAUAUGUUUUUCUCCUGUUACUUUAUGCUUCAAGCGAAGUUUUCAUUUCUGAAAUGGCACACACCAUUUACUGACAGCCGUUUAAAUAAAUCCCAGCACGGAACUGGUGUCCCGGCUAAUCCGCUUGUGCCGUGCGCCAAUACUUUAGAAAAGCUGAUCGCCUCUUCCCCACUUGUCCGACGCGGGCAGGACGCCGUUGAGUCCAAA